rnacentral:tRNA from 1 species
UUUUGGCAGAUUAGUGUAAUAAAUUUAGAAUUUAUGAAUAUAUAAAUAUUUAUAUAAAUAGUACUUG